rnacentral:lncRNA from 1 species
GAUUCCACAAAUAUGUCAGCGUUGGAAAUGAUCCUUUGGCUUUGAACUAUGUGAAGACCGCAGAAGGACUGGUUGACAACUACAAUACAGAUGAGCAGCCCACCCAAGAUUCCUUCUCUAAGAAUUUAGAACUGGGAAUGGAGGAGAGAAAGAGAGAGAUACUGAUUCUACCAGAGACAAUGGGAUGAGAUAGCAUGGUUGUUGGAACUAUGGCUGGAACUGUAAAGCACAAAUUGGAGAGCAGAUAAAGUUCAGGCUGCAUUUGUAUCCUGGGUCCACAAGACAUCGUUUCCUUAAAACCAAUCCCCCUGAUUUUGCUAAG